UAUAGAGGCAUUUCCCUAGCACCUCCAUGUAAUAUACAGGAUAGCAGCCAUUGAUGUGAGCAACCUGAUAUUUACCUUGUGUAGGAGGAUAUACUAGAAUGCUACAGAAGCAAGGAGGUGUGACUGAGUUCCAUGCUGAAGAAAUCAGAAGAGAAACUUAAGUUUUCUUGAUAUAAUAAAUCUCUGAUUUGUCCCUGGCAGACCUACAUCACAUAAAAGCGCAGUCAAAAGUAAAGAUGGAAGAAAAACUGAAGGAUUUAUUAACAUUCAUCAAUCAACCCUAGGCACCCAAAAGCCUGAAGGAAGAGAUAAUGAGACUGGAAUAUCUGUCGUCAAAUGGAAUUUAAUAUAAAGAGUUCCGGUGUCAU
rnacentral:lncRNA from 1 species